rnacentral:lncRNA from 12 species
GAGUAGCAGAUUAUGGGGGUAUGACCCAGUAUAGCAAAAAUAUCAAUAUUUGAAGCCUAAACCAGAAAGGAGCUUCCCUGACCAGUAAGUUGCUUUCACUGGUUUGUACAACAGGAUGAUCAGUGUAUGUUGUCUUCAGUAGUGGUGGAAGAAGAAAAGGUGCUUUCCCACAUCACAGGAAAAUGGAUGAGUCCUUUUGCCCUCAGAGAAACUUUGAAAAGAGCUGGAGUGAACAUUUUCCCAGCAGAGUACUCUCCUGAGUACGUGCCUGUGCCCAGGAAGGCUGCCCUGACAGAAGUGAAGGCCUAUGACCAGAUGGCUCUGAUGGCAGCUGCCUUUGCUUUUGCUCACAGCAAGUGGAAUGGAGAAGCAGGGCCAGAGCGAGUUGUGUUCAAGGUUUGUGGAGUCAGCCCAGCACUGACCCCUGCCCCAGGCAGACAAAGAAUUAACUCACCCGGGGUGGCUCCAGCCCCUGCCUCAGUUCAGUCACAGACUGCACAUGAGAGAGCUCUCAGGGGACACGGGUCUCAGCAGCAAGACACUUGCCAAGGAAAAUGGAACUGAUAAGGCACCAAGGGAGGCUUUAGCCAGAGCUGGGCUGACAGAGCUUCAUGCUCUUCAGAGGGCCCUUGAAAACCAGCA